rnacentral:sRNA from 1 species
AGAAGCCAAGUGUCUCCUUCCUCCCUCACCAUUCCAAGUGUGCCUCCCCUCCAAAGCUGUGUGAUCAGCGGAAGAGGACAAUCACUCUCAAAAGAGGAGGAUCAUUUCCUCAGUCAAAGGUAUAUAAGUAGCUGCACUCCACUAAUAGAAUCUCCAAACAUGCUCUCAGGAUCUGACUGGAGUCCUGUCAUCCCCUCUGGCUCAUCCAUGAGCAUCACAGUCCUUGUGUUCAUGCUAUUAUGU